rnacentral:rRNA from 1 species
AUUGAACGCUGGCGGCAUGCCUUACACAUGCAAGUCGAACGGCAGCACGGGGCAACCUGGUGGCGAGUGGCGAACGGGUGAGUAAUGCAUCGGAACGUACCUUUCAGUGGGGGAUAACGUAGCGAAAGUUACGCUAAUACCGCAUAUUCUGUGAGCAGGAAAGCAGGGGAGCGCAAGACCUUGCGCGGAUUGAGCGGCCGAUGUCAGAUUAGCUAGUUGGUGAGGUAAAGGCUCACCAAGGCGACGAUCUGUAGCGGGUCUGAGAGGAUGAUCCGCCACACUGGAACUGAGACACGGUCCAGACUCCUACGGGAGGCAGCAGUGGGGAAUUUUGGACAAUGGGGGCAACCCUGAUCCAGCCAUGCCGCGUGAGUGAAGAAGGCCUUCGGGUUGUAAAGCUCUUUCGGCCGGGAAAAAAUCGCACGGGCUAAUACCCUGUGUGGAUGACGGUACCGGAAUAAGAAGCACCGGCUAACUACGUGCCAGCCGCCGCAGUAACAC